AUUAAUUAUUCAACAUUGUAGUAAAAGGUCAAAAUUUCAAUAUAUAUCAUUCAUAUAAUUGUACCUAAUUAAAAACAAUGAUUUCCUUCAGUCGCUUCUAAUUUGUUAGUUUAAAUAUUGUUCCUUGCAUGUUUAUUCUGUUGUUAAUGAUUAUUUGUAUAACAACAAUUGUAUAAUUAUAUAAUUGUAUAAAUUUUAUUAGCUCACCUGAGCACAACGUGCUCAUGGUGAGCUUUUGUGAUCGCUUUUUGUCCGUCGUCCGUUGUGCGUUGUGAGGCGUCAACAUUUGCCUUGUUAACUCUCUAGAGGCCACAUUUAUUGUCCAAUCUUCAUGAAAUUUGGUCAGAACAUUGGUUUCAAUGAUAUCUUGGAUGAGUUUGAAAAUGGUUACAUUUGCUUGAAAAACAUGGCUGCCAAGGGGCGGGGCAUUUUUCCUUAUAUGGCUAUAGUAAAAUCUUGUUAACACUCUAGAGGCCACAUUUAUUGUCUGAUCUUCAUAAAACUUGGUCAGAAGAUUCAUCCCAAUAAUAUCUUGGACGAGUUCGAAAAUGAUGCCGGUUUGUUGAAAAACAUGGCCGCCAGGGGAGGGGCAUUUUUCCUUAUAUGGCUAUAGUAAAACCUUGUUAACACUCUAGAGGCCACAUUUAUUUUCCGAUCUUCAUGAAACUUGCUAAGAAGAUUUGUCCCACUGAUAUCUUGGAUUAGUUCAAAAAUGGUAACCUUUGCUUGAAAAACAUGGCUGCCAAGGGGCGGGGCAUAUUUCCUUAUAUGGCUAUAGUAAAAUCUUGUUAACACUCUAGAGGCCACAUUUAUACUCCAAUCUUUAUGAAACUUGGUCAGAAGAUUCAUCCCAAUAAUAUCUUGGACGAGUUCGAAAAUGAUGCCGGUUGGUUGAAAAACAUGGCCGCCAGGGGGUGGGGCAUUUUUCCUUAUAUGGCUAUAGUAAAACCUUGUUAACACUCUAGAGGCCACAUUUAUUGUCCAAUCUUGAUGAAAUGUGGUCAGAAGAUUUGUCUUAAUGAUAUCUUGGAUGAGUUUGAAAAUGGUUACAUUUGUUUGAAAAACAUGGCUGCCAAGGGGCGGGGGCAUUUUUCCGUAUAUGGCUACACAUGUAUAUAAGGCUAUAGUAAAAUCUUGUUAACACUCUAGAGGCCACAUUUAUAGUUCGAUCUUAUUUUCCGAUCUUCAUGAAACUUGCUAAGAAGAUUUGUCCCACUGAUAUCUUGGAUUAGUUAAAAAAUGGUAACCUUUGCUUGAAAAACAUGGCUGCCAAGGGGCGGGGCAUAUUUCCUUAUAUGGCUAUAGUAAAAUCUUGUUAACACUCUAGAGGCCACAUUUAUACUCCAAUCUUUAUGAAACUUGGUCAGAAGAUUCAUCCCAAUAAUAUCUUGGACGAGUUCGAAAAUGAUGCCGGUUGGUUGAAAAACAUGGCCGCCAGGGGGUGGGGCAUUUUUCCUUAUAUGGCUAUAGUAAAACCUUGUUAACACUCUAGAGGCCACAUUUAUUGUCCAAUCUUGAUGAAAUGUGGUCAGAAGAUUUGUCUUAAUGAUAUUUUGGAUGAGUUUGAAAAUGGUUACAUUUGUUUGAAAAACAUGGCUGCCAAGGGGCGGGGCAUUUUUCCGUAUAUGGCUAUAUAAGGCUAUAGUAAAAUCUUGUUAACACUCUAGAGGCCACAUUUAUAGUUCGAUCUUCAUGAAACUCAGUCAGAAGAUUCAUCCCAAUAAUAUCUUGGAUGAGUUCAAAAAUGAUGCAUGUUUGUUGAAAAACAUUGCCACCACGGGGCGGGGCUAUUUUCCUUAUAUGGCUAUAGUAAAACCUUGUUAACACUCUAGAGGUCACAUUUAUUUUCCGAUCAUCAUGAAACUUGGUCAGAAGAUUUGUCCCAAUGAUAUCUUGGAGGAGUUUGAAAAUGGUUUUUGUUGCUUUAAAAACAUGGCCACCAGGGUUGGGGCAUUUUUCCUUAUAUGGCUAUACAUGGCUACAGUAAAACCUUGUUUACACUCUAGAGUCCACAUUUAUAGUCCAAUCUUCAUGAAAUUUGAUCAGAAGAUUGGUCUCAAUGGUAUCUUAGAUGAGUUCAAAAAUAAUUAUGUUUGCUUGAAAAAAAUGGCUUCCAAGGGGCGGGGCAUUUUUCCUAAUAUGACAAUAGUAAAAUCUUGUUAACACGCUUAGAGGCCACAUUUACUGUCCGAUCUUCAUGAAACUUGGUCAGAAGAUUCAUCCCGAUAAUAUCUUGGACGAGUUCAAAAAUGAUGCCAGGUUGGUUGAAAAACAUGGCUGCCAGGGGGCGGGGCAUUUUUCCUAAUAUGGUUAUAGUAAAACCUUGUUAACACUCUAGAGGCCACAUUUAUUUUGCGAUCUUCGUGAAACUUGGUCAGAAGAUUUGUCCCAAUAAUAUCUUGUUAUCUCAGGUGAGCGACUUUGGGCCUUUCAGGCCCUCUUGUUUGGUGACUUUUCACACAUUACACAUUUGUGUUAAAUUGUACAUUUUGUAGAAUCUCCUGGAAAGAUCUGAUAAUUGUUACUGAUCAUGAAAAUAAUUACUUUGUUCUUUGCAGAGAUUUUUUUUAAUUUUGAGAAUGUCUUGUUUUAUAUACAUUUACACUCGACAUUGUUGGCCUUGAGUGAUGCCCAUAUAUGGCCUUUAGUAAUGCCCAAAUAUGGCCUUGAGUGAUGCCCAUAUAUGGCCUUGAGUGAUGCCCAUAUAUGGCCUUGAGUGAUGCCCAUAUAUGGCCUUGAGUGAUGCCCAUAUAUGGCCUUGAGUGAUGCCCAUAUGUGGCCUUUAGUGAUGCCCAUAUAUGGCCUUUAGUUAUGCCCAUAUAUGGCCUUGAGUGAUGCCCAUAUAUGGCCUUGAGUGAUGCCCAUAAAUGGUCUUUAGUGAUGCCCAUAUAUGGCAUUUAGUGAUGCCCAUAUUAAUCUUUUCCAGAUUAACAAUUAUGUGCGUUAAACUUUAAUUGCAAUAGUAUUGAUUUCGUUAGUUUAAAGACUAACCUUAUUCCACUAAGAAAAUGCAUUUUCUAUGACCUUAAAACAUUAAAGUAAGAAGUUUUGCAUGUUGUGUGAACUUUUUUACAAAAUUGUCAGCAAACAAGCCAGAGUGUACAACUUUGUUGUAGAUGUUGAACAAACAUGAUCUAAGUCAUUGGACUUGUUUUACAAUCAUUUGUUAUUUUGUCACUGAUGUACAAGAUUGUUGAUAGAUGUUUAUUUAUAUUUUAUUGUUUUAUAUAGUGUUGUCAGUCAGUGUUGUAUUGGUAUUUUCUAUCAUUCAAACAUUGAAUGGUUUGUAAGAAAAAAAUUAGCAUCCCAGAUGUUAUUAUUUUUGGCGUCUUUUUUAUUACAAACUUCCUAAAUAGUAAAUAAGUUUAUAAAUGUUUCUAAGGGCAGCACUUGACUGUUUUAUUUGUAUAAUUAACCUAUUGCGUGUUUAAGUUUGAAACUUUUGUGAAAAUUACUCCUUUAUACUAGUAACUCUUAAUUUAUAAUCUGAUCUUUUUCAAGCAAAGCCAUGUUUGAUUCAACCAAUCAGAAAGCAGAUCUUAAACAGAAGUUAGAUUCGUACUCAGUUAACUUAAAGAAAGUGGAUACCGAUAUUUGUCAAUGACCUUUUUUUCAUUUUUGAUGCAUUUUUUGUCCCCAGAAUAGUGAGUGCAACAUAAAUCGCGUUAAGACUAAUUCUGUUUGCGACAUUUGUGAAAAAUAUUCGACAAAAUUGCAAUUUCACAGCAUUCAAUAUCAAUACAUUUGUAUCAAUGCAUUUGUAUCAAUGCAUUUGUUUGUCUGUACUUUAAACCAAUUUUCAAUCCAAUCCCGUUUAUGGCAGUAAUCUCAUUCAUCCACAUAGAUGGCAUUUAAUUAUUAAUUUAAUCAUUUAUUUACUUGGAUGUUUGUGCGCGCAAAAUGCUGUUUUGCAUUUUUUGCAAGCAGUUUUUAAAAUGUCUGUCUUUUUGAUGAUCAUUGUCUGCUCUUGUUACACUAUUUUUCUCAAGAAGGUCCCCAGGUGCGACCAUGUAGUAUCUGUUUUUUCAUUACUUUUUGCCAUUAAUUUAGUUUGGUUUGUUACAGCUUUGUUUAUUGUGUUUAUGUCGAACAUAAGGAAAAGUAUAAUAAUUUAUCUAGAAUUGAAAUUAUUUUGUUUCCGUUUGAAAAAUUACAUACAUUUCAUACAGGGACAAUUUUGAUAAAUAAUAAUUAUCAAUCAUUGAUUGAGGUUGUUGCAAGUCUAUAUGAAUUGCAAAGUCAUAUACAAAACAAGGCUAUUUUCAAGCAAUAUGGUCCCCUACCGGCUCCAAAAUUUGUCAGAAAUUCAACCAUUUUCAGAUUUUUUAUAUAUUUUGGUUGCCAUAGCAACCAUAGCAACCACAAUUUUUGACGUAGGAACAAAAUGAAAUGACGUGCAUAAUGUCAAUAUUGCCAUUAUCCACGUUUCAAGUUUCAUGAAAAAAUAUUAAGAACGGACAGACACACAGAGCGCAAACCAUAUGUGCCCUCCGGUGAAACCGGUAGGGGACGAUCAUGCAUUAUGUGCUUUCUGGUUUCAUGGAAAAAGUUGUUAUUUUAGAUUGAGAUUGUAAGUUUGAGCUGUUAAUUUCUGUACAUACAUUUAAAACUUACAUUUUCUGUUCAACAUUUUUAUUUUUACAGUGAUACAGUCUGUGUUCCAACCUUUUGCAUUUGGUUGACUAAAGCAGGUGCUUAAAUGUUUUUUAAAUUAGUUUGUUGUAUAAGAAAUAGAGGAAUGUUUAUUUUGUUUAUGUACUUGUUUGCAAUUUUUUAAAACUUAAUGAAUAAGACAUCUUAAGUUGAAAACUUAAUGAAUAAGACAUCUUAAGUAGAAUGGAAAUAUUUAUGUAAGCAUAGAAUGGUAAAAAUUUGGCAGUGCCGAGAAAAAGUGGUUAAAUGCUUUUGUGAAAAGUGUGGCCCCAGAAUAGCCUGUGCUGUCCGCAUAGGCUAAUAAGGGAUGACAGUUUCCGCCUAAACUUGAUUUGUGCUAAGAAAAUACUUCUGUGAACGAAAAAUACCAUAAAAGCAGAAAGUGUCGUCCCUGAUUAGCCUGUGCAGAUUGCACAGGCUUAUGUGGGACAACACUUUACACACACGCAUUAAACCCCCUUUUCACAGAGCACUGCUCAUGUGCUUUCCAUUUGAAGUCAUGUUUGACAUGCAAUAUAAAAUUACCUUGCAGAGGCCAAAAACUUUGAUUCAAGUAUUGUGAAAAUGUUAUUUAGUUUAAAUCAAGCAAUAGUUCUACCAUUCAACCAUUAAUGUUACUGGCAUUUUGUAGUGCAGAUUUGAUGCUUUUGCUUGUUAAGAAAUGUUUUCAGUAUAAUAUUUUCAUUUUUCUUAAACUACAGAAUUAUAUGUAUUUGUUUCUAAUACAUACACACUUGUAUAUUAGGAGGUAUGGUUGUGAAAUUAUGUUCAACACUUUCAAUGUUUUCAACUCAAAUUAUGUUUGUAUUUGAGUCAAAUAUUGUUAACGACUGCAUGUGUAAUUCAUUUUGUAAAUCGGAUCAUUGCAUAAUUUGUACAGGUAGAACUAUAUUAAUAACCUGUUUAUUGAAAUUAUAACUGUUUUGGUAUUUUUAGUAUGUUUAGCUCGAACAAACUUACUUUUGCCAUGUACUUAAUCAAAAGUAAAACAUGGGAAUACUAUUUUGAUAAAAAAUCAUUGUUCAUGACAGUUAUAAUAUAAGCCAUACCGUGAGGACACUGGGUUUAACCCUUUCUCACUCAGAAGCAAAGUGAAAAUGGCUAUGUGCAAACAGCAUAAAACCAGAACAGUCUGCUAGUAACUCGCAGUCUGUUCAGGUUUUAUGCUGUUUGCUGCUCAUCAGUAUCUAAGGGUUGAAACUGAAACCUUUAAAACUUGGAUCUAGUAAGAAAGGCCUUUAAUAAAAUUUAACUUUCUGAGGUACUACAAAUGUGUAAAAAUACGUAUCUAAGUGGUGAAGGGUUAGAUACGUAUCUAAGUGGUGAAGGGUUAGAUACGUAUCUAAGUGGUGAAAGGUUAGAUAUGUAUCUAAGUGGUGAAAGGUUAGAUACGUAUCUAAGUGGUGAAAGGUUAGAUACGUAUCUAAGUGGUGAAGGGUUAGAUACGUAUCUAAGUGGUGAAGGGUUCAAUACGUAUCUAAGUGGUGAAGGGUUAAUGCAUGUGCAUAAAGUAUCAUCACAGAUAAUUAGGGACAGCACUUUCUGAUUUUAUGGAUGUUUUCGUUUUAAGUAUGUAUGUGCUGAACAAAAAUCCAGUUUAGGCAGCAAGUGCCGUCCCUGAUUAGCCUAUGCGGAAUGCACAGGCUAAUCUGAGACAACACUCUAUGCACAUGCAUUAACUCUUUCAGUGCGGGAACCGAAUUUUGAAGGCCUUUGCAAACAGUUUGGAUCCAGAUGAGACGCCACAGAACGUGGCGUCUCAUCUGGAUCCAACUGUUUGCUAUUCUGAUAGUAUUCUUUAAAAAAAAAAUCGAAGAAAAUGCUAAUUUUAGAAAUUCAGCAGACGACAUUUUAGCAGAUGACAAAUUUCCCAGCAUGCAAAGGGUUAAGCUCUAUUCCUCAGAGUACGGCUCAUAUUCUUGUUACAUAUAUUUGUUGUAGCUGUGACAUUUGCAAUUUUUGUUGAUAGAUUUGUUUUUAAGGGACUAUUUUCAGUCUUGUUUAUAGCAUACAAUUAUUAUUGUAUCGUCCAACCAAAGUGUAAUGCCUUUGAUAUACUGUGUAAUGUUUCACUCUUUCUCUACUUUGAGCUUUAAUUUAGUUUUCAAUUAUAUAACUUAUGCAUAUAUAUUAUUGAAUUUUUUGUAGUAUGAACAAAAGAAAAAAGAAUAUAAUUGUACCGACAUUCUGUUACGGGUAUUCACAUUUCUACGUGAAGAUACGUUUUUCUAUAAAUGCAUUGACUUGCAUUUGGUAUUGAAGUCUUUACCUGAUUUUUCUUAGUUUAGAUUCUGCCAGUGCACAAAUGAUAACAUUUGGUUUUUACAUCAAAAUAUGGAACAAAACAGAGUCACUGAUUAUCAAGCGGAUCUAUAAUUGUUAAGAAGGGUGAAUGCAAGUUCUUUACGCUUCUCACAGCGGUGCUGUUUUUUUGUUCUGAACCGUUUUCUUUGUGAAACAUUAUACGGUAUGUGCGAUACCAUUACCAGCCGUAGUAAGCCUAGAUAGAUUUGUAUUGUACACAAAACAUGGUGCAAUAAAACAAUUGAAAAUUGA